rnacentral:rRNA from 1 species
UACGGAGGAUGCGAGCGUUAUCCGGAUUUAUUGGGUUUAAAGGGUGCGUAGGCGGCUUUUUAAGUCAGCGGUGAAAUUUUGCAGCUUAACUGUAACAGUGCCGUUGAUACUGGGGAGCUAGGAUUUGGUUGCUGUGGGUGGAAUGUGUGGUGUAGCGGUGAAAUGCUUAGAGAUCACACUGAAUAUCGAUUGCGAAGGCAGCUCACAAAGCCAAGAUUGACGCUGAGGCACGAAAGUGUGGGGAUCAAACAGGAUUAGA